rnacentral:rRNA from 1 species
GAGGAAUAUUGGUCAAUGGGCGAGAGCCUGAACCAGCCAAGUCGCGUGAAGGACGACGGUUCUAUGGAUUGUAAACUUCUUUUGUAGAGGAAUAAUGGCAGCUACGCGUAACUGAGAUGCAUGUACUCUACGAAUAAGUAUCGGCUAACUCCGUGCCAGCAGCCGCGGUAAUACGGAGGAUACGAGCGUUAUCCGGAAUUAUUGGGUUUAAAGGGUGCGUAGGUGGCGUAUUAAGUCAGUGGUGAAAAGCUGCAGCUCAACUGUAGUCUUGCCGUUGAAACUGAUAUGCUAGAGAGGAGACGAGGUAUGCGGAAUGUGUGGUGUAGCGGUGAAAUGCAUAGAUAUCACACAGAACGCCGAUUGCGAAGGCAGCGUACCAGGCUCCGUCUGACACUGAAGCACGAAAGCGUGGGGAUCAAACAGGAUUAGAUACCCUGGUAGUCCACGCAGUAAACGAUGAAUACUAGAUUUUUGCGAUAUAGUGUAAGAGUCUAAGCGAAAGCGAUAAGUAUUCCACCUGGGGAGUACGCCGGCAACGGUG